rnacentral:rRNA from 1 species
UACGUAGGGGGCAAGCGUUGUCCGGAUUUAUUGGGCGUAAAGAGCGUGUAGGCGGCCAGGUAGGUCUGGUGUGAAAACUCGAGGCUCAACCUCGAGAGGUCAUCGGAAACCAUCUGGCUAGAGUCCGGAAGAGGAGAGUGGAAUUCCCGGUGUAGCGGUGAAAUGCGCAGAUAUCGGGAAGAACACCUAUGGCGAAGGCAGCUCUCUGGGACGGUACUGACGCUGAGACGCGAAAGCGUGGGGAGCGAACAGG